rnacentral:rRNA from 1 species
AAAAGUCGUAACAAGGUUUCCGUAGGUGAACCUGCGGAAGGAUCAUUAUUGUAUAACAGAGGCACGAAGGCUGUCGCUAACCUUUGAAGGGUUGUGCACGCCCAAGUGUUCUCUUACAUCUAUAUCUCACCCCUUUGUGCAUCACCGCGUGGGUUCCCCCUAAAAGGGGGGCUUGCGUUUUUCACAUAAACCUCAAUAUAGUGUAGAAUGUCUUUUCUUAUUGCGGUGACACGCAAUCAAUACAACUUUCAACAACGGAUCUCUUGGCUCUCGCAUCGAUGAAGAACGCAGCGAAAUGCGAUACGUAAUGUGAAUUGCAGAAUUCAGUGAAUCAUUGAAUCUUUGAACGCAUCUUGCGCCCCUUGGCAUUCCGAGGGGCACACCCGUUUGAGUGUCGUGAAAUCCUCAAAACACUUUCUUUAAUGAAAGGGUUUUGGACUUGGAGGAUCAAUGCUUGCUCUCAAUGUGAGCUCCUCUUAAAUGGAUCAGUGGGGUUUGCUUUGUCGAUCCUUGACGUGAUAAGAUGUUUACUACGUUUUGAAUCUGGCAGCAUCCCUGCUUCUAACUGUCUUAUGAAUAAUGAUGGUGCUCUGGUUAUUGCCACCUUCGGUAGUGGCUGGACCCACGAACUAAAACUUGACCUCAAAUCGGGUGAGACUACCCGCUGAACUUAAGCAUAUCAAUAAGCGGAGGA